UGCUUUUUGUUUGGGGAAACACAGGG
rnacentral:piRNA from 1 species